GACGAAGGUGGCGAGCGUUGUUCGGAAUCACUGGGCAUAAAGCGCACGUAGGCGGUCCGUUAUGUCGGACGUGAAAGCCCUCGGCUCAACCGAGGAAGUGCAUCCGAAACUGGCGGGCUAGAGUACGAAAGAGGGUCGCGGAAUUCCCGGUGUAGAGGUGAAAUUCGUAGAUAUCGGGAGGAACACCGGUGGCGAAGGCGGCGAUCUGGGUCGAUACUGACGCUGAGGUGCGAAAGCGUGGGGAGCAAACAGG
rnacentral:rRNA from 1 species